CGAACCUGCAAAGAGGAGAUAACUAUAUAUUUCUAGAAGCUUAGGGUACUGUACUGGAUGGGUAAUUAGCGGAAACUCUUAACUAAAACUCAGCAGCCCUGCCUAUCCGUAUGUCUGUUAGCAGGCUGACUAAUCGCAAUAGUGAGACAACUGAUAUUUUGAGAGACCAGGCUCGCCGCGGCAUCUCCACUUCGGGCAGCACCUAUACGGGACAUGCCGAAGUGGAUCAACAGAGAGCUGCAAAGCCGCGUCAGGACGUCGGGUGCCCCAAGCCAUGUUAGGAGACACUGAGACCCAGGUGUCAGACGCUUCGUAACUGAAUUGUAACAAACCCACCCGGGCCCGCUGCAUUGAACGCCUGCACAGGAUCACAGUGCAGCCGCAGGGAGCAUGCAUUCGUACGAUGUUGGAACUUCGGCGACGUGUAUAUUGCCUUGUACAGCGAAUGUCAGGGCGUCAAGGUGCGCCCGGACCGGUUCCUGAACCGUCAACACUAUCCCGAAAUAACCCGAUUACAACGAACCCGAGCUAGUUACUGGCCCACAUGGAAAUGUGUCAACCUUCCCUGCUAACUAUAGACUUAAUUUUACUUUGCACACUUAAAUUUAAUACUAGAAUCAAUUCACACACGUGGGACACAUUGCCAGACGAGUUCCUAUAGACACAUGAGACGGCACAUCAACUGGCGCGAGAGUCGAACGCAAAAUACAUCAAAUUAAUGUGAAAGCUUAAAAUGAAUACAACCGAGGAAAAACUUUCACUGAAUUAGCAUAUCUCUAAUCACCUGGUCAAAUGGCACGGAUUAAAAUAUAUCUAUGGGCUAAGACGAGCCCGAUAUCCACCAAAGCGGAGACGAGAGGAGAUAGGAGCCGCGGAACUGUCAGCUUAUUUCCGAAAAAGCAAAGAGUUUGAGCUGUGUUCAUAGCGGAGAUGUGAGCUGUGAGAGUCCAAAAUAGUCAAGUGAUGUCUACGAAAGGCCAGCCUACACACAUCUCCGCUCUGACGCGCUUCUUGAUCGCUCGACGCGGCAAUAAAUUCUAUAGAAAAAUGAGACAUCUCCUCUCCUCUCUGCUUGAUACAUUUCCACCGAAGCUAAGCGGAGAUGUGGAAAUGACGAAAUCUGAUUGGAUAUCAAAAAACAUCUCCUUUACUCUUCGCUUUGGUGAGUACCGGGCCUUAUCUUUGACCGCCCGGAAACUGUCAUUUCACUUCAGUUAUACCCGCUCCAUGGCACUUAUUUCUAUCUUGUUAAGUCUUAUUCGGAUUAUAUUAAAAUCAUCUCAACAUAUGAUGUUGUUAUAAGUUAUAAGCAUAAUUAAGUUUAAUUCCCCAACACAGUCAGGUUUAUAAGAAUAAGGUUUAGUCUAAAGUCUAUAUAUAAGGUUAAAUAAUUGUAAAUUGAUAAUUACUGUUAGUAAGUAGAAUAAUUAGAUAUAAGCACUAUUGUAAAUAUUAAAAAGACAGUAAAGAAUUUUAUAAUUUAA